ACUGAAUGUACCUUGUGUUCUAUAUGCUUCUACUCUCAUUAUCUGCUGAUCUGAUCAUUUAAAAGCUAAUCAUGCAAGGCCAGUUUUCAGCAUAAUUUGGACUAUUAGCCCAAUAUAUUAGCAGUUUUGGCAUUUGAUUCUGAAAGUGGUUGCUGGUUCAGAUAAUGGCUUCUUGCCAGUGUUUUUUUUUUUUUUUUUUUAAAAACCCUAUGGAUGAGAUUUCUAGAUGAGAAACUACUUGAACGUGAAAUCAGCCCACCUAGAGUCUUGUAAUCAUUCAGUUACUUUUACUUCCCAGGUAAAAUGGCAAUACCUGUGCUUUGGAAGUUUCUGGAGAAGUAUCCUUCAGCUGAGGUAGCAAGAACCGCAGACUGGAGAGAUGUGUCAGAACUUCUUAAACCUCUUGGUCUCUACGAUCUUCGGGCAAAAACCAUUGUCAAAUUCUCAGAUGAAUACCUGACAAAGCAGUGGAAGUAUCCGAUUGAGCUUCAUGGGAUUGGUAAAUAUGGCAACGACUCUUAC
rnacentral:sRNA from 1 species